CUCCCCUGGCAAUGGGCAAAGAGACACCUUGUUGUUGGUAGUGUUCUUUUAUCAGUCAGGGGCAGAGUAGAUGGGAGUUUUUUCUUCAUCCUAGCUUAUUGCCUGGCUUAGUGGACAAAGCUGUCUUAUGUCUAGGACCCAUAA